ACCUACGGGACGCAGCAGUGAGGAAUAUUGGUCAAUGGGCGCGAGCCUGAACCAGCCAAGUAGCGUGAAGGAUGACUGCCCUACGGGUUGUAAACUUCUUUUAUAAAGGAAUAAAACGAGGCACGUGUGCCUUUUUGCAUGUACUUUAUGAAUAAGCAUCGGCUAACUCCGUGCCAGCAGCCGCGGUAAUACGGAGGAUGCGAGCGUUAUCCGGAUUUAUUGGGUUUAAAGGGUGCGUAGGCGGAUUUUUAAGU
rnacentral:rRNA from 1 species